rnacentral:tRNA from 1 species
UCCUCUAUGGUCUAGUGGCUAGGAUAUCUCGCUCUCACCGAGAAGGCCCGGGUUCGAUUCCCGGUAGGGGAA